rnacentral:tRNA from 1 species
GGCGGAAUUAACUAGUGGUAAGUUAUCGGGCUCAUGACCCGAAAAGAUAGGUUCAAUUCCUAUUUCCGCAA